AAUAUAUGACGCCGUUGACUUUUUUCCAAUGUUUGACCAUUCGUCUUAUUUAAAAAAUCUAUGUAAUUAUCAUUUAUUUUAUUGUGACUUGGUCCGUCAUCCAAUGUUCUUCAAGCAUGACAUAAAUAUUUUCAUAUUUGUAAAAAAAAUUUGAAUAAAACGAAUGGUCAAACGUUGGUCGAAAAGUCAACAGCGUCAUACAUU
rnacentral:pre_miRNA from 1 species